AGAUACAUAGCUCAGUUGGUUAGAGCGCCACGUUGACAUCGUGAAAGUCGCUGGUUCAAAUCCAGUUGUAUCUA
rnacentral:tRNA from 1 species